rnacentral:rRNA from 1 species
AUUGAACACUGGCGGCAGGCCUAACACAUGCAAGUCGAACGAGUGGCGGACGGGUGAGAAAUGUCUGGGAAACCGCCUGAUGGAGGGGGAUAACUUCUGGAAAUGGUCUCUAAUACCGCAUACCAGAAGAUGAGCCCAGAUGGGAUUAGCUUGGUGGUGGGGUAAAGGCUCACCAAGGCGACGAUCCCUAGCUCGUCGGAGGGGCUGCCCAGCCACACUGGGACGGUGACACGACCCAGACUACUACGGGAGGCAGGAGUGGGUAAUAUGGCACAAGGGGCGCAAGCCUGAUGCAGCCAUGCCGCGUGUAUGAAGAAGGCCUUAGGGUGGUAAAGUACUUUCAGCGGGGAGGCGUUACCGGCAGAAGAAGCACCGGCUAACUCCGUGCCAGCAGCCGCGGUAAUAC